rnacentral:tRNA from 1 species
GGGGCGCGCCCGACGGUAGGGUAGCGGGCUCGAAAGCCGCUGUCUUGGAGUUCGAGUGCUUCAGCGGAAGAGUUUCCGUCCGCCCCA